UUGUAAGUGUUUAAGGGCGCAUGGUGGAUGCCUUGGCACUGGGAGCCGAUGAAGGACGUUGGAGGCUGCGAUAUGCCUCGGGGAGCUGCCAACCGAGCGUUGAUCCGAGGAUGUCCGAAUGGGGAAACCCAGCACGAGUGAUGUCGUGUUACCCACUACUGAAUACAUAGGUGGUGGGGGGGAACGCGGGGAAGUGAAACAUCUCAGUACCCGUAGGAAGAGAAAACAAAAGUGAUUCCGUGAGUAGUGGCGAGCGAAAGCGGAGGAUGGCUAAACCGUAUGCAUGUGAUACCGGGUAGGGGUUGUGUGUGCGGGGUUGUGGGACCUGUUUUUCCAGCUCUACCUGGCUGGAGGGUAGUGAGAAAAUGUCGUGGUUAACGGAAGUGGUUUGGGAUGACCUGCCGUAGACGGUGAGAGCCCGGUACGUGAAAACCUGACAUCUGCCUUGAACAGUGUUCC
rnacentral:rRNA from 1 species